rnacentral:lncRNA from 1 species
AAAAAGGGGGGUGUGUCUCUGCAUGGAUGGCUUUUGAAACCAGAAAAAGUGUGUGUAAGUUUGUUUAGGAUUGGGUGCGUCUCUUCAAUUGGGCUAGGCACUUUCAAUUUUAUUACCACACGAGCCUUUCAAAUACGUAUUUAUAUCACCCCUCAAGCAUUUGGGGGCUAAAAAGUGAAAAAGCCCAGGCAUAAGAUAUCGGGUCUAGACGGCCUCCUAUGGGUUUAAAACAUAUGUUAUUUUCUAAUCAGCGCCCCCCAAAGCUGUGCUAUGAAGCAUAAACGCAAUAUCUGCAGACCGAAUAUGUCGAGACACCCGCCUGUGGUUUUUGGGUCUCUAGACAUUCGGGGGUACUUUAUAUGACCCUUUUAGGCAUACAGGAUGUCGACCGAAAAAACGGCACCCCCAGCUCUGUAAACUCAUUGCAGAAUCGUGAAACUAGCCAGUCGGUACGACAGCCUAAAGCGCAACUCAAGACUCGCGGCCAACAGACAGAAGAGUUAUCAGGCUAACAGAUAAUCGCGGAAUCGGUCCUAAUGGAGCUUUCUGAAGAGGCUACCUGGGCAUAAUUGCUUGCAAGUGCAUUGCGCAGAAUCCCCAUGGCCGAAAAGGUACUUCUUCAAGAAACGGCCCUACACGGACAAGACUCCAACGAGAAAGUCUAAAGCCCCCGGUUUCCGCGAUUCGUCAGAACAGCCCACGUCAAAAAAUCCGAGACUCCUCCCCGGCGUAUAAUGGCACAGAAGAACAUACACACCGAGAACACGCGGCGGAUUUCGGCGUGCCGGACAUUCACAAUAACGAAACCGGAUGAUUUCAACGUUUUAAAUGACAUUUCACAGGUAGACGACUGGAUAAGCAACAAACCGUUUAAAAAACGCAAAUACCGGCUCUAAAAAACAGUUACCGAAAUGGACGUGUCAAUAAUUGAGACAGUUGAAAGCCUUUUGGCGAAAAUACCCACCGAUCUACAAGCUUUAAUUGAACGGAUGAACGAGGGUGGGGUAUCAGACAUCAUUCCGAUAGACGAAAAUCUAUUUUCCCAAAUUCCCGCCGACCUAAUUGAAAUAAUUAAACAUAUGAACGAGUCAGGAACAACUGAUGAAAACCAAUUAUCGCAAAUCCCGCCCGCCCUAGUUUUUUUUAAUAAACCAGAUGAACGAGAGCCUGAGAUCUUCUACACCGGAACCCGCACACACCCCGCCAUUAACUCCCAUGUCAGAAGAGUCUGUAACGCAAUAUGAUGUUUUUGAGGAAUUGGAAAAUUGUCUAAUAAAUCAGGAGGGAGAUGGUCUUGAUAGAAGUGUCAGGGUUGUGUACAGAAAUAAAUUCAGCAAUACAGAGAUUAGACAGUUUUUCAAUUUCACAUGGAUGAAUCAAAAUCUCGAUUAUGCGUUUUUUUACAUGAUGAUUUUGGAUACUCUGAACGAACUGUUAGAAAGGGCAAGAGAUUAUGGCGAACCUCGUGAUGUCUUACAGUUGGAAAUUUGUGGAGAUAGCAUGCAAAACACUGUAUCUCUUAUUUUACCCAAUGGUGAAGCAGAUCUUGAACAAUUUAUAGCCCUGCUGGAACGACUUGUUCAAUCAAAUUUAUCCGUCAUAGCCGAUAGGUCGCUAGAGCUUAUAGUGCAAAUAAUACGGCAACCCCUGGGUGGUGGGGGUCAGAGAAGGAAACUUGAUAGCCUAAUGCAAUCAGAAAUCAUAAACAAUAAAAGGGCAUGCCUCAUAAACGUUCACAAUCCUGGUAAUAAGCUAUGCUUUGCAAUAGGCCUAGCACAUUUACUUAACCCUGGAUGUACGGAUCUAGAGGCGUUACAAAAGGCUAGAGAGCUUCAAAAUGCUGUCGGUCUGGGCAUACAGGAUGCAGUGGCAUUCUCUGACAUAGUCAAAUUUGAAAACUUUCUGAACAUCAAGAUUGUGGUUUUGUACCAUAGUAGAGCUAAUGCUUCUCUCUUGAAAUUCCAAAACAACUCCCAACCUCAUCCUCAGAUUGUGUACUUUUAUGUGCAAAACGACCAUUACUAUGCAGUUACCAACAUCGGAGCGUUUCUAGGCGCACCGUAUGUGUGUCCAGCCUGUCAUACCGGCUACACCCGAAAGGGGGGGCACUCGUGCCGUUAUAACUGUUCCGUAUGUCUGGAUGAAAAUUGUCCGAUGCAGCCCUUAAACCUGACACCCUGUGCCGAUUGUCACAGGACAUGCCGUUCGGCCUACUGUUACGAAAAACACAAAAUUGAAACAUGGCACCCCAAGGCCUGUAAAUCUGUAAGCAGUUGUGAUAUUAACAGGAAAUGCCCAAAAUGUCAAUGCAAUUACAACCUUAAAAUAGACAGCCCUAAACCUCAUGUGUGUGGAAUCAUACAUUGCCCAUUCUGUAAAGGGCCUUUGAAAAGCAGAGACUCUGAAGUGGUUCAAGAAGUGCCACACGAGUGUUAUAUUCAACCCUUGGCUGAAGAUGAACAUUCAGAGAAAUACGUUUUUUAGGAUUUUUGUAUCUUCCAUGAUGUUCAAGGGGGAUAAGCGGUCAGCCGAGGGACCCAAUUGUGUACUCCUCUUUAUAAAACACUUCAGAAAACCCCAGCACAGAAACUUCACGUUUAUAGCGCACAAUUCUAGAGCAUAUGAUUCGUACCUUCUUUUGAACCCUCUGAUACAGCAAGGCGUUGCACCCAGUGUCAUAGCUCAGGGGUAGUAAAAUCUUGUGUUUUGUAGACCCCGCUUUCAACCAGAGAUACAUUGACAGUUUAAGCUUCUUACCCAUGAGAUUGGCUCAAAUGCCUGAGGCCUUGGGUUUUGAGAACUCUGUGAAAGGUUGGUUUCCCCAUUUUUUUACAUCUGAGGAGAAUCUACACUAUAUAGGAUCUUAUCCGAGACCCGAAAUGUACGGUUGUGAUCAAAUGUCUCCCAAAGAGCGAGAGAGAUUCAUGACAUGGUAGGAGACGGUAUGUCACAGCACUUUUGAUUUCCACAAAGAGAUGGAGUCAUACUGUGACAACGACGUGGUUAUCCUUCGCGAGGGGUGCCUCAGAUUCAGAGCAGAGGUCAUCAAAGAUGCAGGCAUUGACCCCUGGAGUUGUACAACUAUUGCAUCGGCAUGCAUGAAAACCUAUCGUACACACUUUCUAUCUACAGCAUCUAUAGCUAUCCCCUCGCCUGACAACUACCGACGCCAAUUCAAGUCAUACUCUAGUGGCUCCAUUCAGUGGUUGGAGUACUUUGCCCAGGAUAAAGACAUUUUUAUUCAACAUGCUUUGAAUAGGGGUGAGAAGGCGUUUGGGCCUUAUCAUGUAGAUGGAUACACACAGAUUGACGGUGUUGAGACCGUGUUUGAGUACAACAGUUGUUUCUUCCACGGGUGUAAAUCUUGCUUUGAGCCACAGGCCUUGUGUGUCCUAACCCAAAAGACUUUUGGUGAAAUGUACCUAGAGUUUCAAGACAAAUUGGAAUCUUUACAGGCUACUUAUGGUUUGAAAGUGAAUGUUAUGUGGGAGCAUGAGUGGACCGCACUCAAAAAGUCUGAUCCUCAUGUUCGAGCUUUCCUUUCCAGCUUUGACACACCCGAACCCUUGGAGCCACGACAGGCCCUGUAUGGAGGCCGUACCAAUGCUUUGACCUUACGGUAUGUAGCGCAACCAGACGACACUAUAGGUUAUGUAGAUUUUACAUCUCUUUAUCCUCAUGUAAUGAGUUCCUCAUGCUAUCCUAUGGGGCAUCUUGAAAUUAUUCACCGCGACAUUGACUUACCCCAAAACUAUUUUGGUCUGAUCAAAGCAACUGUCUACCCACCUAGGGGUUUGUUUAUACCAGUGUUGCCUUACAAGGGACCUCAAGGAAAACUUUUCUUUCCCCUAUGUCGCACCUGCAGUGAAAACAACAACCAGGAAAAGCCUUGUGAUCACUCAGAUCAGGAAAGAGCCCUUACAGCUGUCUGGGUUCCACCUGAAUUCACAAAGGCUCUAGAGAAGGGGUAUCGUGUGGCCAAAAUCUUUGAAGUGUGGAACUUUUCCAGGAAAUCAGACACUCUUUUUAAAGAGUACAUCAAGACCUUGUUGAGAUGCAAGCAAAUGGCUUCAGGCUAUCCUGCAUCGGUCACAGAUCAAGAGAGCAAAGACAAGUACAUUCAAGACUAUCAUGACAGAGAAGGCAUACUUCUUGACCCCAACCGAAUAGAGGUCAACAAGACCAAACGAAAUGUGUCAAAAUUUUACUUAAACUCGCUUUGGGGAAGCUUUCGCAGAGAUGCAAUAUGCUAACAACAUCGAUCAUUAAAGACCCCGAAGAAUUUUUGGAAUUUGUUUUUUCGGACCAAUACGAAAUUUCACAUUUUUCAUUCUUGAGUCAAGACAUUGCCCUGGUGCAAUGGAGACGUAACAAGAAGUGGGUUCUACCCCUGGGUAAUGUAAAUGUGUUUCUUGCAGCAUUUACCACGGCCUAUGGCCGACUUGAACUGUACUCCCUCAUGGAGCAGCUUCAGAGGAGGGUUCUUUACCAUGACACAGACUCUGUGGUCUAUGUAAGCAAACAGGGUGACUGGACCCCCCCACUUAGCAACUAUCUGGGUGGUUUAACGAGUGAACUCAAAGAUGGCGACCAUAUCACAGAAGGGACUUCCUGUGGGCCCAAAAGCUAUGCUUUUAGGACUAAAGACAAUCAUGUGGUGUUGAAAGCCAAAGGCGUGACUCAAAACUACGAAAAUGCCCCGCGUGUAAACUUGGAAUCAAUCACACGCUUGGUCGAGGGGUUCAUAAACGAUCGGAAUAGUGACUUGGAGAUUUUGAGCUCCUACAAAAAAAUUGUUAGGGAUAAAAAGGGCUUCCAUCUCAGGAAUGCCCCACUUACUAAAAGAUUCAGGGUAGUCUAUGACAAGAGACUGCUUUUACCUAAUGGGACCACACUGCCCUUUGGCUACUGACUUAUGCUACAAGCCCCAGUGUGUCUUAAAGCUUAAGAUAUAAUGGCUGCUGUAGAAGGUUUUGACCCCAGGUUGCAACUCACAUUUUCGGCCUUAAUCGCAGGCCCCUCCAACAGUGGUAAAACAUGUUUUGUAAAAAGUAUUUUAGAGAAUUCUGAACAUGUGUUAUCUCAGAAGCCUGACAAUAUUGUGUGGUGUUAUUCAUGUUAUCAACCUAUGUAUGAUGAAUUGUUGAAGAAAAUAAAAAUCAAGUUUGUUGAAGGAAUACCUGAA